AGGGGUGUAGCUCAGGUGGUAGAGCACUGGUCUCCAAAACCAGGUGUCGCGAGUUCGAGUCUUGCCGCCCCUGCCA
rnacentral:tRNA from 1 species